rnacentral:tRNA from 1 species
GUGGGAAUAGCUCAGUGGUAGAGCACGUGCUUAGCAUGCACGAGGUCCUGGGUUCAAUCCCCAGCACCUCCA